CCUACGGGUGGCAGCAGUGGGGGAUAUUGCACAAUGGGGGGAACCCUGAUGCAGCGACGCCGCGUGGGUGAAGGAGCGUUUCGGCGCGUAAAGCCCUAUCAGCAGGGAAGAAGAUGACGGUACCUGAGCAAGAAGCCCCGGCUAACUACGUGCCAGCAGCCGCGGUAAUACGUAGGGGGCAAGCGUUAUCCGGAUUUACUGGGUGUAAAGGGGGCGCAGACGGCGAUGCAAGUCUGAAGUGAAAGCCCGGGGCCCAACCCCGGGACUGCUCUUGGAACUGGGUUGCUGGAGUACUGGAGAGGCAGGCGGAAUUUCUAGUGUAGCGGUGAAAUGCGUAGAUAUUAGGAGGAACACCGGUGGCGAAGGCGGCCUGCUGGACUGUGACUGACGUUGAGGCCCGAAGGCGUGGGGAGCAAACAGGAUUAGAUACCCUGGUAGUC
rnacentral:rRNA from 1 species